GAUGAAGAACGCAGCGAAAUGCGAUAAGUAAUGUGAAUUGCAGAAUUCAGUGAAUCAUCGAAUCUUUGAACGCACAUUGCGCCCCCUGGUAUUCCGGGGGGCAUGCCUGUCCGAGCGACAUUACAACCCUCAAGCUCAGCUUGGUGUUGGGCCCCGCCGCCCCGGCGGGCCCUAAAGUCAGUGGCGGUGCCGUCCGGCUCCGAGCGUAGUAAUUCUUCUCGCUCUGGAGGUCCGGUCGUGUGCUCGCCAGCAACCCCCAAUUUUUUUCAGGUUGACCUCGGAUCAGGUAGGGAUACCCGCUGAACUUAAGCAUAUCAAUAAGCGGAGGA
rnacentral:misc_RNA from 1 species